UAUUUUAGUCUUGUUAGAGGAACCUGUUUUAUAAUCGAUAAACCACGUAUAUCUCACUUAUUUUAAAUAACUUGUAUACCGUCAUUAUCAGAUAACUUUCAAAAAAUUAGUUAUUAAAAUUAAAUAAAAUUAAAUAUAUUAGAUCAAGGUGCAGUUUAUAAAUAAGAAAAAAUGGGUUACAAUAAAAUUUAUUUAAAACGAAUUAUAUAAAUGUAAAAAUAUAUGAAGGAGGAUUUAAUUGUAAUUUUUCUUAUAAGAUAAUAAUAUGAUAAUAGCUCUAAAAUAU
rnacentral:rRNA from 1 species